rnacentral:piRNA from 1 species
UGAAAUGUAGGGGCUGCAAAUUUCAG